AUUGAACGCUGGCGGAAUGCUUUACACAUGCAAGUCGAACGGCAGCACGGACUUCGAUCUGGUGGCGAGUGGCGAACGGGUGAGUAAUGUAUCGGAACGUGCCCAGUCGUGGGGGAUAACGUAGUGAAAAUUACGCUAAUACCGCAUACGAUCUAUGGAUGAAAGCGGGGGAUCGCAGGACCUCGCGCGAUUGGAGCGGCCGAUAUCAGAUUAGGUAGUUGGUGGGGUAAAGGCACACCAAGCCAACGAUCUGUAGCUGGUCUGAGAGGACGACAAGCGACACGGGAACUGAGACACGGUCCAGACUCCUCCGGGAGGCAGCAGUGGGGAAUUUUGGACAAUGGGCGAAAGCCUGAUCCAGCCAUUCCGCGUGCAGGAUGAAGGCCCUCGGGUUGUAAACUGCUUUUGUACAGAACGAAAAGGUUUCUACUAAUACUAGGAGCUCAUGACGGUACUGUAAGAAUAAGCACCGGCUAACUACGUGCCAGCAGCCGCCGUAA
rnacentral:rRNA from 1 species